UUGCGAAAGAGAAGAAAAAAUUUAAGGUGUCCCGCGUCUUUAUCGUGAGAUUCUAUCGCGUGCUCGCAUCAAGUAUUCUGACCCUGUUAAGCUUUACGAAGGAAGACCCGGCUAUAUCACAGAGGUUUAUAUCUUCGAAGCGAGGUUACGGAUAUCGUGUCUGCGCGAUGGUGAGUAGAAAAUGUCAAAGUAUGCUAGAAACGAGAGAGAGAGAGAGAGAUCACGUUCGAAAGCAUCGGCGAAAACAUAUAUGUAACGAUUACUGUCCACGAGCUGCAAGGCGCUCGAAAGCAGAUCAAAUAAAGGUAAUACGACGUCGCAAACACGACCAUUCAAUUAUUCGCGGCGCAAAGUUCGCUUCGAUGGCAGCGACACCAUCUCGAGUCCCCUUCUCUCUUGCCUUCCCUACCUGACGACGUCCACAAUUACAACGCUCUAGCAUCGAAACAUUUUUACACGC